GGGACCCGCACAAGCAGCGGAGCGUGUGGUUUAAUUCGUUGCUACACGAAGAACCUUACCUGGGUUUGACAUAUAGGUUGUAGGGAACUGAAAAGGGACCGACCCUUCGGGGAGCCUAUACAGGUGUUGCAUGGCUGUCGUCAGCUCGUGUCGUGAGAUGUUCGGUUAAGUCCGCUAACGAGCGCAACCCUCGUCGUAUGUUAUAUGUGUCAUACGAGACUGCCGGUAAAAAGCCGGAGGAAGGUGAGGAUGAUGUCAAGUCAGCAUGACCUUUAUAUCCAGGGCUACACACACGCUACAAUGGUCUGUACAAUGGGUAGCCAAGCCGCGAGGCGGAGCCAAUCCUGAAAGCAGGCCUCAGUUCAGAUUGCAGUCUGCAACUCGACUGCAUGAAGCCGGAGUUGCUAGUAACCGCAGGUCAGCAAUACUGCGGUGAAUACGUUCCCGGGUCUU
rnacentral:rRNA from 1 species